GGAAGCGCCGAAACCCGCGUGGGAAGCGGAUUCCGGCGCUUCUCGUUCUCAGUCCUUGCUAUUCGCUGUCAGUCCCCUCGGCUUCUUCGCAACGAGGGGGUCGGCGGUUCGAGUCCGCUCGUCUCCACCA
rnacentral:tRNA from 1 species